GAAAACUCAGACUUGUCUGACUCUGACCCAGAGAUUGUUAUUAAAAGGCCCUCUGAGUUUGAUCUUGCUGAUACACUGCCAUGGGAACUUCAACAUGAAAGCAGUCCUUUACAGAAAGCGGCAGAAUAUGAGAAGGGUGCUGGGGAUCUUGUGCUUGCUAAUGAAGUACAACAGGU